CGCAGCCGCGGUAAUUCCAGCUCCAAUAGCGUAUAUUAAAGUUGUUGCAGUUAAAAAGCUCGUAGUUGAAUUUCGGGAUUGACGUGAUGGUCGUGCCUUAAGGGGUAUGAACUGUUGCUGUUGAUUUCUCACCUUCUGGAGAAACUUGAUGUCCUUAAUUGGGUGUCUUGCGGAUCCAGGACCUUUACCUUGAAAAAAUUAGAGUGUUUAAAGCAGGCAUUUUUGCUCGAAUACAUUAGCAUGGAAUAAUAGAAUAGGACGGCAUGGUUCUAUUUUGUUGGUUUCUAGGAUCACCGUAAUGAUUAAUAGGGAUAGUUGGGGGCAUUAGUAUUCAAUUGUCAGAGGUGAAAUUCUUGGAUUUAUUGAAGACUAACUACUGCGAAAGCAUUUGCCAAGGAUGUUUUCAUUAAUCAAGAACGAAAGUUAGGGGAUCGAAGACGAUCAGAUACCGUCGUAGUCUUAACCAUAAACUAUGCCGACUAGGAAUCAGACGAUGUUAAUUUUUUAAUGACUCGUUUGG
rnacentral:misc_RNA from 1 species